rnacentral:rRNA from 1 species
UACGUAGGCCGCAAGCGUUGUUCGGAGUUACUGGGCGUAAAGGGUGUGUAGGCGGUUGCCUAAGUUUGGUGUGAAAUCUCCCGGCUCAACUGGGAGGGUGCGCCGAAAACUGGGUGACUCGAGUGCGGGAGAGGAGAGUGGAAUUCCUGGUGUAGCGGUGAAAUGCGUAGAUAUCAGGAGGAACACCUGUGGUGUAGACGGCUCUCUGGACCGUAACUGACGCUGAGACACGAAAGCGUGGGUAGCAAACAGG